rnacentral:rRNA from 1 species
AUUGAACGCUGGCGGCAUGCCUUACACACGCAAGUCGAACGGCAGCACGGGAGCAAUCCUGGUGGCGAGUGGCGAACGGGUGAGUAAUAUAUCGGAACGUGCCCAGUAGUGGGGGAUAACUGCUCGAAAGAGCAGCUAAUACCGCAUACGACCUGAGGGUGAAAGGGGGGGAUCGCAAGACCUCUCGCUAUUGGAGCGGCCGAUAUCAGAUUAGCUAGUUGGUGGGGUAAAGGCCUACCAAGGCAACGAUCUGUAGUUGGUCUGAGAGGACGACCAGCCACACUGGGACUGAGACACGGCCCAGACUCCUACGGGAGGCAGCAGUGGGGAAUUUUGGACAAUGGGCGCAAGCCUGAUCCAGCAAUGCAGCGUGCAGGAAGAAGGCCUUCGGGUUGUAAACUGCUUUUGUCAGGGAAGAAAUCCUCUAGGUUAAUACCCUUGGGGGAUGACGGUACCUGAAGAAUAAGCACCGGCUAACUAUGUGCCAGCCGCCGCAGUAAUAC